rnacentral:rRNA from 1 species
AAUUAAUAAAUUAUUUAAUUUUUUAUUUAAAAAUUUUUAUUUAAUAAAAAUAUUUUUAUUAAAAUUAAUGUUUUAGUAUUUUUAAAAGAAUAAAUUAAUUUUAUUAUAGUGUAUUUGUAUAUUGAUAUAUAUUUGAAAUAAUUUGAAAAUAAAAAUUUUUAUUUAAGUAAAUUUUAUUUAUUGUACCUUGUGUAUCAGGGUUAAUUAAAAAAAUAAUAUUAAUUUAUAUUUAUCUCGAAUUUAAAAGAUCUAUUUAAUUUAUAAAAUUAUUUUUAAUGUUUAAUAAUUAUUUUAAAUUUUUAAAUAGAAAUGAGACGUUUUUCGUUUUUAAAAUUAUCUAGUUUUUUAAUAAAUAAAUUUAAUUUAGAUAUUAAAAUGAAUAAAUAUUUUAUUUAAAUAAAAUAAUUAUUUUUAAUAUUAAAGUUUUAAGGGAUUAGCUUUAAUUCUUAUUUUUAUAAUAAAUAAUAUUUUGAUUAAUAUUUUUAGGCUUAGAAAUAGUUUUAAUUUGAAAAUUGUAAUAAUUUUAUAUAAUUAUAUAUAUAUAUAUAUAUAUAUAUAUAUAUAUAUAUGAAUAAAUAAAUAAAUUUUAAUUUUAUUUAAUUUUAUAUUAAAAUAAUUUAAUUAAUAAUAUUUUAAUUUAAAUAAUGAUUAAAUUAGUAAAUAAAAAUAUAUUUUGUAUUUAUUUUAUGAAAGUUAAUUAUAAAGAAUUCGGCAAAAAAAAUAAUUCGCCUGUUUAACAAAAACAUGUCUUUUUGAUAUAAAUAAAAAGUCUGAUCUGCUCAAUGAAAAUUUUAAAUAGCCGCAGUAUCUUAACUGUGCAAAGGUAGCAUAAUAAUUUGUUCUUUAAUUUAGGACUAGAAUGAAUGAUUUGACGAGAUUAUUGCUGUUUCAUAAUUAUUAAUUAUUGAAUUUAAUUUUUAAGUUAAAAAGCUUAAAUUUUAUUAAAGGACGAGAAGACCCUAUAGAGUUUUAUAAUUAAAUUGAUUUUAUAAUAUAAUUAUUUUUAUUAAAUUGAUUAAAUUAUUUUGUUGGGGUGAUAAUUAAAUUUAAUAAACUUUUUAUUUAUUUUUACAUUUGUUAGUGAAUUUAUGAUCCUAUUUUUUAGAUUAAUAGAUUAAAUUACCUUAGGGAUAACAGCGUUAUUUUUUUUAAAGUUCUUAUUAACAUUAAAAAUUGCGACCUCGAUGUUGGAUUAAAAUUUAUUUUAGGUGUAGACGCUUAAAAAUUAGGUCUGUUCGACCUUUAAAAUUUUACAUGAUCUGAGUUCAAACCGGUUUAAGCCAGGUUGGUUUCUAUCCUUAAUUAUCAUAAAAAUUUUUAGUACGAGAGGACCAGAAUUUUAAAUUAUUUAAUUUUUAAUAAUGAAUUUUAAUAAUUUUUUA